UAUUCAUUCAUUCUAAUAGAGGCGGGAAUUAAGUUGGUAUUCCUGAGCGUUUUUUGUGUUGGUGGUUGGUAUGGUGAAGGCGCGAGCCGGGCUGGGCUUGGGGUGCGGGAGGAAAGAGAGUUCAAUACGUGCAACAUGCCUCUGAGGCAAACCUACGCUGAAGCGCGCUGCACACCUUGCGCAUGCGUCACAAAGUCCUGCUUCUGACGAAUAACGGGGAGGGGAGGAAGGGAGACUUGAUAAGUGCGCGCGCCUCACGCCGGCGCAGUGAGGUUGGGAAGGGGGCGGAGGGGCUGACGCGUGCGCACUGGACGGGGUUUUUGGCGGGCGUUGCGCAGAAGCGGCGGCUGUGAGGGGUUACAAACCAGGGAGGGGGAAGUUGCUUCCGCUCCGAGCCCGCUACUUUCCCCAGAUGGAAAAUAUUUCUCUGUUUCCUGUGCUCCAUAAGAUGGGAAACUUGUCAAGGCAAAGUAAAUGCCUCGCAAAUCAGAAAAGACUACAGCAAUAUCUGGUUGAAUUAGAAACUUCAGAGCACAUCUGAGUUUUUGUUUCAGAGAAUCCAUGCUACUAAAGUACCCCAAUCAGAAUCUUACAGAGCAGCAUGAAACCACCUGAAGAUCAGGUAACCUGAAAAUGGAAUGAAGAGGUAUAUUGUUGACUGGGUUUUAAGCAUCAUUGCUAGAUGCAAAAAUAGGUGCAAUGUGCUUUAAAGAGGCUGCUGUUUUACAGUAAGAACCCGACCCAUUUAUAACAGCCAAGGGCAUAACUGCAAAAGCAAGAUCUCUGUGUUUAUGGCUGCUUAUAGGAUCCAUCAGUGCUGAUUGCUCUGAUUGG